rnacentral:misc_RNA from 1 species
GGUAUAUAUGUUAUAUAUAUACAUGUUUCCCCUUACUCUUUCUUCUUAUUUUUUUGACUGAGAAAAGGUAGUACAUGUGCCACUCCUUAUUCACCACAACAUGUAUUUUUUUUAAAAAGUGCUUUCUCCUUUACCUUUUACAAUAAUAAGGUAAGCAUCCAGCAGUGGAUCAAUUAAAUGUCAUGAGCUGACCCCCUCUAAAAGUAAAGAUUAA